rnacentral:tRNA from 1 species
GGUGGGUUGGCCGAGCGGUUUAAGGCAGUCGUCUUGAAAACGACCGAGGGCUAGAAACCCUCCGUGAGUUCGAAUCUCACACCCACCGCCA